CCUACGGGUGGCUGCAGUGGGGAGUAUUGCACAAUGGGCGCAAGCCUGAUGCAGCCAUGCCGCGUGUGUGAAGAAGGCCUUCGGGUUGUAAAGCACUUUCAGCGGGGAGGAAGGCGGUGAGGUUAAUAACCUCAUCGAUUGACGUUACCCGCAGAAGAAGCACCGGCUAACUCCGUGCCAGCAGCCGCGGUAAUACGGAGGGUGCAAGCGUUAAUCGGAAUUACUGGGCGUAAAGCGCACGCAGGCGGUCUGUCAAGUCGGAUGUGAAAUCCCCGGGCUCAACCUGGGAACUGCAUUCGAAACUGGCAGGCUAGAGUCUUGUAGAGGGGGGUAGAAUUCCAGGUGUAGCGGUGAAAUGCGUAGAGAUCUGGAGGAAUACCGGUGGCGAAGGCGGCCCCCUGGACAAAGACUGACGCUCAGGUGCGAAAGCGUGGGGAGCAAACAGGAUUAGAUACCCCUGUAGUC
rnacentral:rRNA from 1 species